UACGUAGGGUGCGAGCGUUAAUCGGAAUUACUGGGCGUAAAGCGUGCGCAGGCGGUUUUGUAAGCCAGGUGUGAAAUCCCCGGGCUCAACCUGGGAAUGGCAUUUGGGACUGCAAGGCUGGAGUGCGGCAGAGGAGACUGGAAUUCCUGGUGUAGCAGUGAAAUGCGUAGAUAUCAGGAGGAACACCGAUGGCGAAGGCAGGUCUCUGGGCUGACACUGACGCUCAUGCACG
rnacentral:rRNA from 1 species